CACGUAGGGUGCGAGCGUUGUUCGGAAUUACUGGGCGUAAAGGGCGCGUAGGCGGCCGCCUAAGUCAGACGUGAAAUCCCUCGGCUCAACCGGGGAACUGCCUCUGAUACUGGAUGGCUUGAGAUUGGGAGAGGGAUGCGGAAUUCCAGGUGUAGCGGUGAAAUGCGUAGAGUAUCUGGAGGAACACCGGUGGCGAAGGCGGCAUCCUGGACCAACACGUGACGCUGACGGAGCGAAAGCCAGGGGAGCAAAGCGGG
rnacentral:rRNA from 1 species